rnacentral:lncRNA from 1 species
UUAAACAUCCCAAGUUAUGUAUACCAAAUAACAACGUGUUCUCAUGUCUUAAGAAAAAAAAAAGAAGAAAGAAAGAAGAAGAACUCACAGGAUCCUUGCGAAAGCGUUUCUGUUCUCUUGAAGAGUCCAUUGGUCUUCUGCGCCAGAGGCAUAGUAGUCGUAUACCAUCUUAGGCAACUUCUGCUUUGCGAUAGCUUCAUACUCGGUAACGUUUGUGAUCUCCAUUUUCCGAUGCUGGUCUGUCAAAAGAGCAAAAAGGCCUGAGUUAAUAAGUUAGCUGUAGUGAAACUCAAGAGAUAGUGCACGAACGCAAAACACAAUCUGGUUUGUUGUUAGUCUUAACACACAGAAUCUCACACACCUUUGAUGGGGAUGGAGCUCUCGGGAGAGAUGAAGGGUGUGACUGGUAACGCUUAUAUUAUCAUAUAUCUCACAAUGUUUUAUUAUUGGUUAAAAGUUAAAUACACCUGUAAUGUAUUAAUUGGCUUGUGAAAUAUAUUUUCUAACAAGUGAAAAUUGUUGGCAGAGGAAAAAUAAUAUGGAUGAGAAGCUGAAGGUGAAGAAUGGAUGAGAAGAUACGGACAAGGAUCAGAUGGGGUUGUGUGUAUCUAAUUCACUAGCAACUUGUGUGUUCCCUAAAUUUUCUUUCAUAUUAUCGUGCUUAAUCUCAUGGGGAGAAAAAAAAAAAAAUCGUAAACCAAUUGGUUUUCAUUCUUUUGAAAGGACAUAAAUAAAUCCGAGUGGAUGAUGAUAUGGAAGAGAAACUAAAAAGCGUGCGAGGAAGAAGAGCCGGAUUUUACAGGCCUAGUUAUAAACCUUAAAGCCCAAAUACUAUUGGGCUUAACAAUGGGAGAAAGAGUCCAUAAUUUGUUGAUGCAGAUAAUCAAAGUAUAGUCGUUUCUGUGAGUGUGCCCGUGUUAAAUAUUUAAGCUGUUGUUUUGAUUGAGAAGAUGGAAAAUGCUCAGUGAAGAAGAGCACGAAAAGGGGGAAAAAGAAAAACAGAGACAGAGUCCAUAACUUUUAUACAUUUAUCGAUUUCAAUGGCGGACCGGAGCAGGGGCUUUCUGAGAUGAUUUUUGGGACAUGUGCUCUUACAUUCUUCUCUAUAUCGCCAUUUCAACCGGUCAAAUCUCUUAUUCAGUAAGGUUUCACUUAAAAUUUCACAGCUUCUCUGUAUCUACGUUCUCGCAUCGUUUUGUUCUGUGCACUUUCGAUUUGUGAACCGAUCUCUAGUUGUCUCUAUUGUAUAAGUAAGAAGAUUGUACUGAAGGUAGAAGUAGCCAAAUAGCAUUACAGAGAGAAUCUGUAGUCAUGUUUUGUGAUUUUCGAUAUAGCGAGAGAAACAAGUUUUGAGAUAAAAAAGGAAAAAAAGCAGAGUUUAAGCCAAGUAUGAAGUGAGCAAUGAUAAGAAUAAAGUGUAGCCAUUACAUGCCCUGUCUUGUUGCUGUUCUCUGGUGGUUGUUUCUUUUCUUUCCUCUACAACCUGGGCAAAUGGCGCGGCGUGUCCCAUUCGGUGACAAUGUGGUUGCGCGUAAUUUCACUGAGAGACCGGCACCCACUUAGUGCCAUGGUUAGCUCGAACUCAUCGCGUAGCAUUUGAAGCACCUUUCUCACUCCAGCUUCUCCUUCAGCAGCCAGUGAGAAUACCACUGGUCUCCCAAUCUGAGACCGAGAGGGCAAUUAUCAAUAACGUGACAGUUAUCAAUGGUUUCAACCAGUGUAAAUGGAGAUAUGAUGCUUACAAAUAUCCCUGAGGCUCCAAGUGCAAGUGCCUUGAAGACAUCAGUUCCACGUCGAACACCACCAUCCAAGAAGACAGGAACUCUUCCCUGUGUCGCCUUGACAACCUGAACACACGAGAACAGUGCUGAAUUUGCUGAUUCAAGAACACAAUUUGACCUUUAUAGCCUUGAAUGAUCUACCUCUUCCAGAGCUGAGAUUGUUGCUGGCACAUAGUCGAGCUGGCGAGCUCCAUGGUUUGACACAAUGAUCCCUGCUGCUCCAGCUUGAAUCGCUAUCCUUGCUGCAAUGAGGACAAUAAUUGUUGAUCUUGUCAAGUAUUGGAAACUUUUAAGUGAUGGAAACAUUUCAUUUUUCAGAUAGUAACUGACCAUCCUCCCCUGUAAGAACACCCUUGACAAGAAUGGGCAUGCUGGUGAUUGUCUGGAGCCACUGGACGUCCUGUUUGUGUAGAUGGAAGUUAGAGAAAUCUGAAUCAAACAAUCAAGUUUUGCGAUGCUAAUUUAUGGUACUCUUUUACCUUCCAGCUCAAGGUACGGUCAAUUUGACCAGCAACAUAUGAAGCCAAACCAGAGUCAUUGGCCUGCAGGUGGACACAUAACAAGCUCAGGAACACUUAGGAAACGUAAACAUAACAAGUCUGCUUUAAGACUUGUUUCAUGAGUAGAUCACUGCCAUUAUUCAGACGAUAUAUGCUUACCUCAUCCAUCUUUCCGAGGUCAAGACCUUCAAAGUUCUUCAGUGUCAGGUUUGAAGGCAAAGUGAAUCUGUGUAGAAGAACACAAAUCGUUACUUCACAAUUUUUUUUGCUAUCUGUUUGCAUGUUUCUAUCCAAUCAACUCUUGCUGUAUACUUUCUUGCUAUGUAUUUGCAUAUUAAAUUUCAAUCAACUCUUGUCACAUUUCAACUGACUUGGCUUUACCUGUUCUUGAUAUCAGACUCUCUCCGGCCUAGCCUUGGGGUGUCUACGGUGAGAGCAAUGGCUUUGAAUCCAGCCUUCUCGGCUCUUCUCACGAGCUGCUCAACCACCUUCCUAUUCUUGUAUACCUACUCACAACGAUCAUAACUUGUGAAACCAUCAGAUGUGACCAAGUUUAUCAGGGUGUACGACAAACCACUGAAGGUACUUACAUAGAGCUGGAAGAAUCGGAUCCCUGGUCCUGUGGAAGCAACUUCUUCAACACUGGAAGUAGCCCAUGAAGAAAGCGUCUGAAAGUAUCAUGGAAGAAAACAAGUCAAACCGGUAUGCAUAAAUGGUGGAUUAACAAGCUCUAAACACCGAAAAGGUUAAGAGUCUUGCUUUGAAUGAAACCAUUUGUGACAGUAUAAUAUAACAUACCAUGAUGGUUCCAGCUGCAGAAGCAGCUCUAGCCGUAGCAUACUCCCCUGCAUUAGUUUCCAUCAGAACAAGCCUUAGUCUCUGUCUCUAUUGAUACUAAAGCAAGUUUUCACUCUCUAUAACAUAACUCGGUUUUACUGAAUGUCUUGCAGGAAAAGGCAGACGUCAUUUACCUUCUGGAUGAGCCAUCUUUUGCAUGGCAGUAGGAGCAACCAUGAUCGGCAUCGAGAUUUUGAAUCCCAAGACGGUUGUUGUCAUAUCAAUUUUGUUCACAUCAAUCAGAAUCCGAGGACGAAAGCUGUUAAAACAUGGCAAAGGUAUGUAUAUCAAAUCACAUCUCUUGUAAAACCAAUAAAAUAGUGUAUCUUAUCUUAAGAAUAAAAGGAAAAACUCACAGGAUCCUUGCGAAAGCGUUUCUGUUCUCUUGAAGAGUCCAUUGGUCCUCUGCACCAGAAGCAUAGUAGUCGUAUACCAUCUUAGGCAACUUCUGCUUUGCGAUUGCUUCAUACUCGGUAACGUUUGUGAUCUCCAUUUUCGGAUGUUAA